AUGAAUGAAGAUGAUGGAAGAACCAAGCAGAGAAAAGGAGAGAGAGUUUUUGUUCUGCUUUUUUGGUGGAUGAAGAUAAAGGUCAGAGAAUCGGGAAGAAUCUUCAGGGUGCUAAAGAAUGAAUCGAUCUUGGAUUUUAGAUUUUUUCCAUCUAAAAGAGCUGAAGUAUCAGCCUUGAAUGGGGUUGCAAUAGGUUGUAUGCUUUAA